rnacentral:lncRNA from 1 species
UCACCACUGAUUCCUUUGAAGGAAAUAUGAUUUAUGAUAUCCACAGCCCGACCAUACGUGUCUUCCGCCAAUAUUUGGCAGGUACUAUAUUCGGUCGGGAGAAUUCUAAUAAAUAAAAAUGCAAAAGAAUUUCUUUAUUUACAGGUAGCUCUGACAUAGCGAAAGCUGAAUUCAGUCCCAUUCGUGAUAGUGCACAUGCGUGCUAUUGUGAAAAAAAGGGACCAUCUCUUUUGGAGGCUUGAUUACCUCCAUCGCUCGUGCUUUAGGGCUAGAUACUGAGUUGGCUAUAUUAGAACCCCUACCGUUCUGCAUCAUUGACAUGCAAUUUUUAAGAAAUAUGCGGUUGUGAAAAGUUAGGAGAGAAGGAGGCUACCACCUUAUGGUUCAUAAUGUAGCCAUAAAAAGUGUCGCAUUACCUUGUCCUCGUUGUACAAAUGUGCGACAUAAUAGAAACUGGACUUAUAAUCUGAAUGACCCACCGAUCACUAGCCUAGUAUCCUAGGACAUCCCAUAAAACGAG